rnacentral:rRNA from 1 species
GAUGAACGCUGGCGGCGUGCUUAACACAUGCAAGUCGAGCGAGAUUAUUCUUCGGAAUAAUCUAGCGGCGGACGGGUGAGUAACACGUGGGCAACCUGCCUUGUAGAGGGGGAUAGCCUUCCGAAAGGAAGAUUAAUACCGCAUAACGUUAUUGAAAGGCAUCUUUCGAUAAUCAAAGGAGCAAUCCGCUACAAGAUGGGCCCGCGGCGCAUUAGCUUGUUGGUGAGGUAACGGCUCACCAAGGCGACGAUGCGUAGCCGACCUGAGAGGGUGAUCGGCCAUAUUGGGACUGAGACACGGCCCAGACUCCUACGGGAGGCAGCAGUGGGGAAUAUUGCACAAUGGGGGAAACCCUGAUGCAGCAACGCCGCGUGAGUGAUGACGGCCUUCGGGUUGUAAAGCUCUGUCUUUGGGGACGAUAAUGACGGUACCCAAGGAGGAAGUCACGGCUAACUACGUGCCAGCAGCCGCCGUAA